rnacentral:misc_RNA from 1 species
CAUUCAACCGAUUCGGUCUUAAGCGCUUAAUCGGCUUUGUUUCAACCUGACAUCCUCUUAAACGCACGGCAAGCCAAGCCAGCCUAACUUCCGUGGUUCGUGCCACGAAGCCGUUACUUGUUGACAAACGACGCUUACAUACUUUCACCAGAGCGAGCAAAGGAGAACUCCAGUUGGAUAGUUUUCCGUGAAAUAUUAAAACGUCCAGAAUGCCGUUAAGAAGUUGAUUAAAUUACCGUGCCCACCCGGAAACUCGAACGUGUUUACAUCUUGACGCGGACCGGUUGAAACCUACGCGAGUUACGAAGACGGGGAAGAAGAACGAUAAAAGAUCGUGUAAAGUAGCUUCGCGAAUUUUAGUGUCACGCUGCAUUUGUUACUACGGUACAAUAUUAGACGAGGCGACUAUGAAGCAAAGCGGUACACGAAAGUACAUGAAGACCUACCGUGGAAAAUCUUUAUGCGUAGGUAUAUUGUGCGUGUUAUAUAAAAUAUUAUAUUUUGAAAUUUCCGUAACGCUAUUUUCGCGAACAACUGUAUAUUUCAUAC